AAAUUGAAGAGUUUGAUCAUGGCUCAGAUUGAACGCUGGCGGCAGGCCUAACACAUGCAAGUCGAGCGGUAACACAGAGAGCUUGCUCUCGGGUGACGAGCGGCGGACGGGUGAGUAAUGUCUGGGAAACUGCCUGAUGGAGGGGGAUAACUACUGGAAACGGUAGCUAAUACCGCAUAACGUCGCAAGACCAAAGAGGGGGACCUUCGGGCCUCUUGCCAUC
rnacentral:rRNA from 2 species